CACAACAAAAGCAUGCUUUAGACGCACACACAUCUGAAAAAUAACUUUUCCUUGGUCCACUUCUCUAAGUACACCAAAUCUAGCAGACUGCAGAGGCCUGUCUGCCAUUUGACCAGGAUACUGGGAAUGAAGAGGGUCUAUGUCCAGCUUGUUCUCAGACUGUAAGUGGUGCCACAGCACAUGCAGGCUUGUACAGCAGAAUGCAUAUUAACACUACUUACAUGUUCUAAGUGAGAACAAGGAGUAAGAAAUACGAUGAGGAACUUGACAAAAAGUUCCAAUCUCCACGCAACCCUGAUGGAACCUUGGUCCUGGCUCUAACCUACACCCUUCCUUUUGAAAGGUAAUCUGUUCAUGCUGACUACCAAAGAGACACAUUAUAAUCUUGUGUGUAAAAAGGCAAUGAUCUCUGGUUGGGUAAGCAUUAAGAUGGCCAGUUUUGUUUGUUUGUUUUGUGUGUACCUUUCUAUAUGCAUAUGUAACUCUGUGAUGUGCUAGCGUGGUGAUCUGGGCUGCAGAGCAUCUGCACUUAGGAGCCUGAGGAUGGAAGCUCAAGAGUUUGAGACCAACCUGAGCCACACAGUAAGAUGACUUUCAAAAACAAACAAACAAACAAACAAACAAACAAACAAACAAACAGUAUGUGAUUUAAAUAAUCAGUAACCGAGAUCCUGUGCAGUAAAUCUUAGAAUUAAAGAUAAUUCACUAUAUUACCCCACACAUGUAAGAUUUCUCUUUCUGAUGCUAACAUGUAAUCUAUCUUUCAUUUACAGCUAACAGUGUUUCUUGCAUGUACACCACUCAUUCCUGAAGCUUUGGGUCAGAGUCCAUGAAACAGGGUAACAAGAAAAGGAAUACACAAGCUGGUAAACAUGCAUCUGAACAUACGCAAAAACAGCCGCUUCCCUCUGUGGCAGAACAGGACAAGGUCACUGCACUGUGUGGGGACAGGUGACGAGGUCUAAGUACAGCGACACUGACUGAGCUUUCUUUUGUCAUUGUGCCAAGGAAGCUAAUGACCGCCGCCGCAGCAGACAGCAGAUCCUUCUUACUUCCCGACUGACCAAACAUCAAGUUAUUUCUUCUGCCUGUCUAAAAAACGGUAAGAUAAUACGACAAAAUUAACAAAAAUGAAAGAAAAGGCCACAAAACAGAAGAUGGAGUUUGUUUUGUGUUGGCCAACUACUCCUGAGCAUGGGGCCUGCCCUGGAGUGCAGAUGAUAUACCCAGUGACACUCCAUUGGAGAAAACUGAUUUUCUCUCUCCCAGCAGGUGUCAAUUGCCAAGAAAUGGUUGGUUAGGGCUGGGACUUUGUGUCCACUUCCCCUUCUCAGUGCUGGGAUACUGUGGGACUCGAACCUAUGCAGUUCUUGGGCACGCUGUCAAGUCUCUGUGAGUUCAUGUGUGCAUCAGUCCUGUUGUGUGUUGUGUGGAAGACACUGUUUCCUUGAAGUCACCCACCACGUCUGGCUCUUACAAUCUCUCUCCCUCCUCUUCCACAUGGUGCCUGAGCCUUGAGGGGAUGGGGUUUGAUGAAGACAUCCCAUUUAGGACUGUAUUAGGAUAGUAUUCCCAAGUCUCUCACUCUCUGCACACCGUCUAGUUGUGGGUCUCUGUGUUAACCAUCAUCUACUGCAAGAAGAAACUUCUCUGAUGAGGGCUGAGUGAGGCAUGCUCUGUGGGGUAGCACUGUGUCACACAGCCAUUUUAUUCCUGUCUUUCUUUAGCAGAGUAACAGUACUAGCUAGGCCCACUAGGCCCACUAGCUAACUGGUCUCAGGUUCUUGGCCGCUCCAGCAGUGUCAGGUAUGGGUUCCGUUUCACGUAGUGGGCCUUAAAUCCAGUUUUAAAAAAGUGAUUAGCUACCCCAAACAUUUGUGUCACUACUGCACCAGUCUAUCUUGCAGGCAGGCCACCGUAGGUUGUAGGGUUCAUAGCCGAAUGAUACUUGUAGCGCCAUGCAGUCUAGACAAAUCUCUCUCGCACGCGGUCCUGCAGCCGCUUAUAAAAUAAUCAUUCAAAGCCUUAAUAUUAAUAAUAAAUUAUAUGGCCUAUGGCUCAGGCUUCUUACUAGUUAGCUCUUAUAACUUAAAUUAACCCAUUUCUAUUAAUCUAUGUUUUGCCACACGUUCUGUGGCGUUACCUAUGUGCUAUUACAUGCUGCUCCCUGGACGGUGGGAUGGCGUCUUCUCUGCCUCUCCUUUCACUCUCUCCCUUGGAUAUUCCUGCUUGGCUCCAUCCUGCCCUGCCAUAGGCCAAAUGGCUUUAUUUAUCAACCACUCAGAGCAACACAUAUUCACAGCAUACAGAAAGAUACUGAUCACUUUUAUCCUCUGGUAGCAUGCAGAGUACCUUCCAGUACCAUGAAUGUGGGCCAGCAGAAGUGAAGCUUCUAAUUCAGUACCAGCUGGAUUUUUCCAUGCUCAGUGACAAUUCUAAGUGUCCUUAGUAAUAGGGUUUUACCAUUAGGAUGUGAUGAGCAAUCAAUAGCCUUGGUAAUAGUCUGUGAUGUUUAAGGAAGCCCAAGGGAUCCCUUUAGUCAAUGACUCAAUAAGAUGUAACCCAUUCCUAGAACUGGAGGUUUUACUUGGCAUAAGGGAUCUAGUUUGGGCAUUGUCUCCCCUAUAGUAUAGGGACUCCAUUUCUUUUCAUGUGAGUAUAUUUUAGGAAGCUUCUACAGCAGUAGGUUUCCAUAUGGCUUUCCAAAAGGCCUUCAGUGUUAGCUGUUCCUCUUCAAUUCCUUCCUUUUCCUACUCUCUCGUCCCUUUUCCCAGCUAAUUCUUCUAUUCCAACUUGCAAGAGCCAGAAGCCAUGGACAACUUCAAGGAAACAGUGUCUUCCAGAUACAGGACUGAUGCACACACUCCACAGUACUAUACUCUAUCCCCCUUUUUGGGAAAUCCCCUCAUCCCUGCUCCCUUGCCAUCCUAACCUCUGUGGUUAUUCAGGUGGUAGCAAACAUACUGAAAACUUAAAAGCUAACAGCCAUAUGUAAGAGGUAACAUGCUAUAUUUGCCUUUUUGGGUCCGGGUUAACCUCACUUGGGAUGAUUGCUUCUAGCUCUACCCACUUACCUGCCAAAUUCAUAAUUUUAUUUUUCUCAACAGCUGAAUAAUGUUCCAUUGUGUAAAUGUACCACAGUUUCAUUAUUGAUUCAUCACUUGAUGGACAUCUAGGUGUUUCCAAUUUCUGGCUAGUAGAAAUAGAGCAGCAAUGAACAUGCGUGAGUAAGUAUCUCCGCAGUCUUUUGGGUAUAUGCCUAAGAAAGGUAUUGCUGGAUCUUGAAGUAGAACAAUUCUCAGCUUCCCAAGGAACCUCCACGUUGACUUUCAUAGUAGCUAAACCAGUUUGCACCCCCGUCGGCAAUAAGUAAGUAUUCCCCUUUCCCCACAUACAUCCUCAACAGCAUCAGCUGUCAUUGGAUCUUGGCCAUUCUGACUGUGGGAAGAUGAAAUCGCAAAGCAAUUUUAACUUGCAUUUCUCUAAUGGCUAAGAAAUUUGAACAUUUCUUAUGUUUCUCUGCCAUUUGUGUUUUAUCUUUUGAGAACUGUCUUGAUUUGUUUUGUACUCCAUUUUAAAAGUGAGAUUUCUUUUUUGAUGUUCAGGGUUUUUUUUGUUCUUUGUAUAUUCUAGACACUAACCCUCUAUCAUAUGCUGUCAUUUUGCUUGAAUGAUAUAGCCUUUGCCAUAAAGAAGCUUUUCAGCUCCAUAGGGUCACAUUUAUUAACUAUUAGUUUUAAUGCCUAUGUCCUGUUCAGAAAGUCCUUUCCUGUGUCAAUGAGUUCAAGCUCAUGACCCACUUUCUUGUCUAUCAGAUUCAGGGUAUUUGGUCUUGUGUUGAGGUCUCUGAUGCAUUUGGAGUUGAGUUUUGUGCAGGGUCAGACAGACAUGGAUCUAUCUUCAUUCUUUUAUAUGUUGCCAUGCAGUUUCAAUGGCACCAUAUGUUGAAUAUAUUGUCUUUUCUCCAGUAUGUAUUUUUGGUUUCUUUAUUAAAAUCAGGUAUGUGGAAUUGUCUUCAGUUUGGUUCCACUGAUUGUUGUGUCUGUUUUUAAGCCAAUCCCAUGCUUUUAUUUAUUACUAUUGCUUUGUAAUAUGAUUUGAAAUCUGGGAUGGUGAUAGUACUAACAGUUCUUUCAUUAUUGAAUAUUGAGCCUGUCCUCGGUUUUUUUGUAUUUCCAUAUGACAUGAAGAUUGUUUUUUUGUUUUUUAAAUUUCUCAGAAGAAUUGUGUUGAAGUUUUGAUGGGGGACUGCACUGAAUUUGUAGACUGGCUUUAGUAGGAUGCCAUUUUCACAUUAAUAUUCCUGAUCCGUGAGCAUGUGAGAUCUUCCCACCUCCUGAUGUCUUCUUCAAUUUCUUUCUUCUGUGUCUUAAAAGUUUUUAUUAUACAAGUCUUUACCUUGUUUGGUUGAGGCUAUUGUAAAAGGUACUCUUUCCUUGCUCUCUUUCUCAGUCUGCCAUUGGUAAACAGGAAGGCUACUGAUUUUUCUGUUAAUUUCAUGUCCUAAUACUUUGCUGAAGUGUUUAUCAGCUGUAGAAGUUUCCUAGUGGAGUCUCUGAGGAUAUUUAUGUAUAAAAUCAUAUCUGCAAUAAGGAUACAUUGACUUCUUCCUUUCCUAGUUGUAUCCCUUGGUCUCCUUCAGUUGUCUUACUGCUCUAGCUAAGAUUUCAAGUACUAUAUUGAAUAGGAAUGGACAGAACAGACAACCUUUUUUUGGUUCCUGAUUUUACUGGAAAUGUUUAGAGUUUCUCUCUGCUUAGGAUGAUGCUGGCUGUGGCUUGCUCUAAAUAGUCUUUAUUAUGUUGAAGUAUGUCCCUUGUAUUCGUAGCCUCUCCUGGACUUUUACCAUGAAGGGAUAUUGGAUUUUAUCAAAGGCUUUUUCUUUAGCAAAUGAGAUGAUCAUGUAGUUUUUGUCUUUCAGACUGUUUAUGUGGUGGAUUAUAUUUAUUGACAUAUAUUUUGAAUCAUUCCUUCAUCUUUGGAAUGAAGCCAACUUGAUCAUGGUAGAUAACUUUUUUUUAUGUCUUCUUGAAUUUGGUUUACAAGUAUUUUAUUGAGAAUUUAUGCAUCUAUGUUCAUAAGGGAUACACACACACAUAUACACACACACCUGUGUGUUUUGAGUAUCAGGUUAAUAGUAGCUAAAAUUAGGUAGUAGUGUUCUUUCAGUUUUUAUUUUGCAGAAUAAUUUAAGGAGUAUUAACAUUAGUUCUUCUUUGAAGGUCUGGUAGAAUUGUGUACUGAAUCCAUUUGGCCCUGGGCUUUUUUGUGUUGGGAGAUUUUUAAAUUACUGCUGUUUCACUAGGGGUCAUGGGUCUGUUUAAACUGUCUAUUUCAUCUUGAUUUAGGCCAUAUAUAUCAAGAAACUGAUUCAUUUCUUUUACCUUUUCCAGUAUGGUGGAACAAAGGUUGUUAAAAUAUAUCCUUAGGAUUCUCUGAAUUUCCUCAGUGUCUGCUGUAAUAUUUCCCCUUUCAGCUCUAAUUUUAUUAAGGUGGACCUUCUCUCUCCAUCUUUUGGUUAAUUUGGCUAAGAGCUUGUCAAUCUUGUUGAUUUUCUCAAAGAACCAACUCUUCAUUUCAUUGAUUUUGUUAUUAUGUUUUGUUUCUAUUUCAUUGAUUCUGCCCUGAAACUCCAGAUGUGUUUAAUCAUUUCUCCCCACUCACUGUGUUUUGAGCAAUUCUUUUUCCUUCCUCCCUUUCUUUUUCCUAGAGCUUUCAGGUUUGUUGUUAAGUUACUCAAUCUCUCCAGUUUUCUAUGUAGGCACUUUGUGCUAUGAACUUGCCUCUUAGAACUGUAUCCCAUAGGUUCAGGUAUACUGUGUUCUCAUUUUCCUUCAGUUCUAAAGUUUGUAAUUUCCUUCUUGAUUUCUUGGUUCAAUUUUCAUUCAGUAGUGAGUUUUCAGUUUCCUUAGUUUGUUUAUUUUCUGCUAUUUCUGUUGUUGAUAUCAAGUUUUAAUCCAUGGUGGUCAGAUAGGAUGUGGGGUGUUAUUCCACUUUUCCUGUAUCAGUUGAUACUUGCUCUGUUUCCUAAUAUGUGGUCAUUUUGGAGAAAGUUCCAGGAGCUGCUGUAAAAGAAGCAUAUUCUUUAGUGUUUCAGUGAAAUGCUCUGUAAAUAUCUGCCAGGUCCCUUUGAUUUAUGAUGUUAUUUAACUCCAGUGCUCCCCUCUUUAGAUUUUUAUCUGGAUGACCUAUUUAUUGGAGAGAGUAGGGUAUUAAAGUCAUCCACAUUCACCAGGUUAGGGUCAAUACAUGAUUUUUGUUGUAGUGGUGUUUCUUUUAUGAACUUGGGUGCCCUUACAUUUGGUGUAUAAAUGUUUAGAAUUGCAAUAAUCUCUUGGUGGACUUUUCCUUUAAUGACCUAUGUAGUGACCUUCCCUAUCUCUUCUGAUUCGUUUUGAUUUGAAGUCUAUUUUGUCAGAUAUUAAAAGUUAUAAUUGUUUGCUUCUUGGUUCCAUUAACUUGAAAUAAUCUUUUCUAUCCUUUUACCCUGGGGUGAUGUCGGUCUUUGAUGGUGAGGUGUGCUUCUUAGAUGCAGCAGAAAUAUGGAUCCUGUUUCCUAAUCCAGUCUGUUAGUUUGUCUUUUUCUUUGGGGAACUGAGACCACUGAUAGUUACGGAUAACAGUGUUUACUGAUUCCUGUUAUUUGUUGUGGUACAAAUUCCUCCACCCUUCUCUCUUGAUUUACUGUUCUGGGAUUAUUUAUUAUGUCCUCUUGGGUGUAGUUAACUUCUUUCAGACUGAAGUUUUCCUUCUAGUGCCUUCUGUAGACUGGACUGGUGGACAGAAAUCUCUUAAAUUUUUUUUAUCGUGGAAUGUUUUUCUUUCUCUGUUUGCUGUGAUUAGUAGUUUUCUGAGUAUCGUGGUCUGGGCUGGAGUCCGUGGUCUCAGUUUGUAGAACAUCUAUCCAGGCCCUUCUGGCUUUCAGUUUCCACUGAAAAGGCAGGUGUUAUUCUAAUAGGACUCUCCUGAUAUGUGACUUGGCCUUUCCCCUUGAACUUGAAGCUUUUUUUUUUUUUUUUUUUUUUUUUUUGUUUUUCGAGACAGGGUUUCUCUGUGUAGCUCUGCGCCUUUCCUGGAACUCACUUUGUAGCCCAGGCUGGCCUCGAACUCACAGAGAUCCGCCUGCCUCUGCCUCCCGAGUGCUGGGAUUAAAGGUGUGCGCCACCACCGCCCGGUGGAACUUGAAGCUUUUAUGUCAUUUCUUAUUCUAUACAUUUAGUGUUCUAUUAUGUAUGGGGGAGAAUUUCUUUUCUGGUCCAGUCUAUUUGGUGUUGGUAUGCUUCUAAUACCUUGAUAGGGACCUCCUUUUGGCUGGGGAAAUUUCUUCUUUAAUUUUGUUAAAAAUAUUUCCUGUGCCUUUGAGUUAGGUUUCUUCAACUUCCUCUACCCCUAUCAUUCACAGAUUUGGGCUUUUUGUAAAAUCCUGGACUUCCUGCAUGUUUUGUACCUGGAUUUUUUUUUUUCAGGUAUAACAUUUUCUUUGAUUGACCUAUCCAUUUUUUUCUACCUUCUCUUCAAGACCUGAGGUUCUCUCUCCCAUGUCUUUGAAUCUGUUGGUAAAACUUACCUGAGGCUUCUGUUUGAUAUCCUGAGGACCCUCUUUAUAUGUGACUUGGCCUUUCUCCUUGAACUUGAAGCAGGUCUAAGUGACUAUUUCUUUGUUAAAUUCUAUUUCCAUGUCUUGAAUUGUUUCCACUAUUUCAUUCAACUUCAUGUGUUUUCAUGGUCUUAAUUGAGGCAUUUAUUCAUAUCCUCUUUAAGGUCCUAUAACACAUUCAUAGUUACUCUUUUGAAGUCCUUGUCUUAUGCUUCAGCUAAAUUGCUUUUCUUGGAGCUUAUUGCAGUAGGGUUGCUGGCUUCUGGAGGAGGCACACUGGCUUAGCUGUUCAUGUUUGUGUUUUUGCUUUGGGAUCUGGGCAUCUGGAGUUAGGAUGUUUGAAGUGUCUGCUGUGUAGAUAUCUCUCUUCUCUUUGUUGGGUGUGGGUGAGUGCUCUAUUCUUGGGUUGCUGUUCCUACUCUGUGUCUUAGCUAAUUGUGGUGGCUGUGGGGUUUCUGGUAGAGUGUUUCUACAGGUUGGUGGGUGUCACAAAAGAAUGGAAAUGGGUUAGAAGCCAAGGCUACACAUAGAAUUAGAGGGACCCUGGUUCUGUCUAGGAUGACUUGCAAAUACAGAAACAAACACAAUUUGUAUAAUAAAAGGAAGAAUAGGAAUUUGCCCUCUAUGCUCUUCUUUAUGGUCAAUCUACUAUAGCACAGUGGUUCUCAUGUCCACCAGGACCUUCUCCUCAGACCUGAACUCACAUUAUGAAUCUGCUAAAUCAUCAGGAGGGAGGGGCUGCUUUAACCUGAUCCCAAGACAGACGUGCAUUUUCUUGGGGUUUAGGCUGGGAACGCAGAUCAGCAAGAGUAACUGAUGGUGGAACACUGGCCUGUAUACUACUGGGAGCUAUGCACAUAUAUUUCACUAUCACGUGAGUCCUGGCAGGACCGCAUGUUCAGGGAUGAAGGCUGCCACUGAGAUGUUCGUUAGGAGAAGCUGCAAUCAGUCAG